UACGUAGGGUGCGAGCGUUAAUCGGAAUUACUGGGCGUAAAGCGUGCGCAGGCGGUUUUGUAAGCCAGAUGUGAAAUCCCCGGGCUUAACCUGGGAAUGGCGCUUGAAACUACAGGACUGGAGUAUGGCAGAGGGAGGUGGAAUUCCACGUGUAGCGGUGAAAUGCGUAGAGAUGUGGAGGAACACCGAUGGCGAAGGCAGCCUCCUGGGCCAAUACUGACGCUCAUGCACGAAAGCGUGGGGAGCAAACAGG
rnacentral:rRNA from 1 species